rnacentral:rRNA from 1 species
UGCAGUCGAACGAUGAUCCCUGGCUUGCUGGGGGGAUUAGUGGCGAACGGGUGAGUAACACGUGAGUAACCUGCCCUUGACUCUGGGAUAAGCCUGGGAAACUGGGUCUAAUACUGGAUACGACCGACUAUCGCAUGGUGGUUGGUGGAAAGCUUUUGUGGUUUUGGAUGGACUCGCGGCCUAUCAGCUUGUUGGUGGGGUAAUGGCCUACCAAGGCGACGACGGGUAGCCGGCCUGAGAGGGUGGACGGCCACACUGGGACUGAGACACGGCCCAGACUCCUACGGGAGGCAGCAGUGGGGAAUAUUGCACAAUGGGCGCAAGCCUGAUGCAGCGACGCCGCGUGAGGGAUGAAGGCCUUCGGGUUGUAAACCUCUUUCAGUAGGGAAGAAGCGAAAGUGACGGUACCUGCAGAAGAAGCGCCGGCUAACUACGUGCCAGCAGCCGCGGUAAUACGUAGGGCGCAAGCGUUAUCCGGAAUUAUUGGGCGUAAAGAGCUCGUAGGCGGUUUGUCGCGUCUGCCGUGAAAGUCCGGGGCUUAACCCCGGAUCUGCGGUGGGUACGGGCAGACUUGAGUGAUGUAGGGGAGACUGGAAUUCCUGGUGUAGCGGUGAAAUGCGCAGAUAUCAGGAGGAACACCGAUGGCGAAGGCAGGUCUCUGGGCAUUAACUGACGCUGAGGAGCGAAAGCAUGGGGAGCGAACAGGAUUAGAUACCCUGGUAGUCCAUGCCGUAAACGUUGGGCACUAGGUGUGGGGGACAUUCCACGUUUUCCGCGCCGUAGCUAACGCAUUAAGUGCCCCGCCUGGGGAGUACGGCCGCAAGGCUAAAACUCAAAGGAAUUGACGGGGGCCCGCACAAGCGGCGGAGCAUGCGGAUUAAUUCGAUGCAACGCGAAGAACCUUACCAGGGCUUGACAUGAACCGGAACGGCGCAGAGAUGUGUCGGCCACUUGUGGCCGGUUUACAGGUGGUGCAUGGUUGUCGUCAGCUCGUGUCGUGAGAUGUUGGGUUAAGUCCCGCAACGAGCGCAACCCUCGUUCCAUGUUGCCAGCGGGUUAUGCCGGGGACCCUGGGAGACUGCCGGGGUCAACUCGGAGGAAGGUGGGGA